rnacentral:lncRNA from 1 species
UAUGCUAUGUUUGCUUCACGCUCAUGCUUCGCCAUGAACCCGGUUACUUCAAUAUUGCCAAACAACAGCGUAAAGAUCCUGCCCUAAGACAGUGAAAAGACAACAAAUAAUCUCUUGUUCGAAUAACUAGUACGUUUAUUUCUUUUCUAAAUGGUGCGAGUUUAAGAACAAAUCCCUUUUCUUACAACAACUGAUACAAAUUAAACUUAUUUUUAAUUUAUCUUUUUAAGUGAAUUCCUAAUAAACACCACAUCAAAAUCUACUAUUUUUGAAAGCACUUGUGAACAUUUUCUUUCGGGAUAAGGGCGAUAAUACACAUUUAGUCAUAUUCCAAUUCAAAGAAUCUUAUUUAUGUUGUAAUAUCUAAUUUGUGGAUAUUAAACCGUAGAAUGAAAUGAAACUAUAAUAAAAUGUAAAGAAAAUAAUAUUCUUCACUAUUUGUUUAAAAUAAUGUAUUUAUAAUUCGAAUAAAUAAUUUGAAUAAAUUUAUAAAACGGCAUGGAUAAUUCAAAAAUAAAAUGUUAAAAUUUUCUCGGUGUUCUUAGAAAGUGGAAUAGAGAUUAAAAAGCAUUUAAAAAGAGAAUCGGAUAUUGAUAUCAUUUUUCAUUGGAUCUCAUACAUACAAAAGCAUCAUGAUUAUAUUUUUGGCUAUAUUUAGUGUAUUUGUGAGAUUGAAGAUAAAAAAGAGGUGUAUAUAAUACGAUACGAAAUUUUUUUAUAAAUAUAUUUUUAUGAUAUAAUAUAACAAAAAGUUAAAAAAAAAUUAAUGAAUAUUAAUAAUAAGGGUAAAAUAUUAUAUUUUUUGUGAAAUAAGAUAUUUUUUUUAUUUUAAUAUAUAAAAUUUUUGUAAAAUAUAAUAAAUUUUAAAAGACAUAAAAUUUUAUAAUAUUACUAUUAAAAAUUUAAAUAUUUUAUAUUAUAAUGUAUUUUUAGUACUUAUAAAUUCUUAUUAAUUAAUUAAUAAAUUAUAAUUAUUUAUGUUUUUUAAUAAAAUAUAUUAGCUUAAAAUUUGUCUAGUUAAGUUUCAUCAAAUAAUUUUUAUUGCUUUUAUGUGGGUAAAGUUUUUAGUUUUAAUGAAUUUUAAUCCAAAAAAAAAAUAUUAAUUUUUUUUUCAAUUUUAAUAAAUUGUUAAAUAUUUAAUUUAAUUAGAGUUUAAAGUUGAAAAUUUAGUAAAAUGAACCCAAAAAAAAAAGAAAAUUAAUUAUUUUUUAAAUUAUAUUUUAAUUAAAAUAAAAAAAUAUAUAUUUAAAAUUUAUCAUACAAAUUUUAAUUUCAUUUAAUUUUAUUAUCUUUUUUUAAUUAAUUAAUUAAUUAAUUAAUUAAUAUUAAUAAAUUCUACAAAUAUUCUAAUUUUAUUCCAAAUAUAUCCUUGAUCUCUCCGGCUCUCCUCUCCCACAAUCAACAGGCUCAAACCAAAACAUUAUUAUGACAUGUAAUUUCAAUUUCCUUCUUUCAGAAAAUCUCCGCUUGUUUCUCUGCAAAUCCGAUAUUUUCUCCACUCUCCCUCUCCGAGUUUUCACAGAUGAUGUCCAUUUUCUUUCUCAAUCUGUAAUCUCUGCUGCUCUCCUCUUCACUUACUUCGCAAUCGAAUGGACGUCAUCUCCGAAGAUUCUUCCGAUUCAACUCAGCGAGUCGACUCGGACAACGACCAGCGAGUCUACUUCGUUCCCUUGAGGUCUCUUCUUCCUUUCUCUCUGUUUCUUUUACUCCUCUACCUCUUUAGUUUCGGCAUUCACAAAUCUGAGCCGAAUUAAGCUAAUGCAGGUUUUUUUUUUUUUUAGUAAUGUAGCCGUUAUUGACUGCGUGUGUCCUCACGGAAUAGGUAGGGUAAUGAAACUAGAUGACAUGAGCAUGUGAUUUAGAAUCUUAAAUCAAGUUGGAUUGGAGUAGGAUAUGUCGAGAUUUAUACACACACACACACACACACACAUCUUGGUAGACAUGUAAUCUGCUAUUUCUUUUUUCUUCGUCCUGAUGCCUCAGCUUCCAAACGGGUCAUUUUCGUGGCUUUAUUUAGCUUCUUGCCAAGGUUAGGAUCCUAAAUUUUCCAAGGAAUUGAUUGGGAUUUUGAAGUGAAUGCCUUUCGGGUUUUAUGAUAUGAAGUGGCUCCUAAGAGAUAUCUUGCUUUUCUGCCUUCUUUUUUCCAUAAGCUAAGCAAUAAUGUUCUGCUGCUCUUUGAAACCUUUCUGAUAUGGGUAUCUCUGCGUUGUGGAAAUUGAUUUAGUCUACUAUUUUCAUUUUGACAUGUGAAUUUCAGGUGGUGGAAAGAUACUCAGGAUUCAACAUCUGGGGAGUCAGAUGGGAAUAGAGGGGUCCUCUAUACUGCAACACCAGGAACAUCCUUUGCAGGCCCCAUGAAAUUGUUCAACAACAUAAUCAACUCGGAUCUCAUGUUCAACCUUAGAAGGGAUGGGGAUUCUUUGCGAAAUAGUGAAAAUGGUGAAGUAGGUUGCUCAGGCCGGGACUUUGCAUUGGUCCAGGGGGAAAUGUGGUUGCAGGCACUCAAAUGGUGAGGUUAAGUUCUGAAGAGUUUUCUGCUGCGUGUUUCCCUUUCUAAAUUUUUCCGGUAUAAUGAGUGAAUGUGUUAGAAACAAUGUGGAUGGGAACAGUUGUGCUCAAAAUGCAGCUUAUCGUCGGUCUUUUGGUUGUCUGUUUUUGAAAUUAUAACAAGUGUCUAAUACAGUUUGCUUGAUGCCAGUUGGGUGGUAUAUAUUGUUAUUUUGGAUUAAUCUUCUACUGGUAAAUGGAUGAUUACUGGUAAGCUAAGUACAUAAUAUGCAAAUCUCGGACAUACUUAUACCUGUCGGACUGUUAUAUAUUAUCAAACAACAUUAUUAUGUUUUUAACAAGAAGCUUGUUAGUGUAUGUGGUAGGGUUCCUAGUUAUUGAUACGGAGACAGUAACUUCCAAAUAAAAAGGUUUGCUGCUACUUUUUUUUGCCAAUACUUGUUACAAUUUUGAUGCUCCUAAUUUCUAGGUUGUGUUGGAAUUACUAUUCUUGACAUUACUUAUUUAUUGGCAUUGGCAGCAAUUGGUCAAUGAGUACCAGGAGUUGGUUUUGUCAGAUAAAUUGAUUUGGAACUUCUAAUAUGAAAGUUCUACACAUUCUGUCUUUUAUAAUCUAGGAGGCUUCUAGAAAAGAAAAAUGUUUAUGAGGCAUUUGUUUCAGUUGCCUGAAUGAUUGGAUCAGUGGUUCUAAGGUUCUUCCUAUUUGGCCGUUGACACAUUUUUAUAGGGAUUUCUUCCGUCUUUUAUGCUUUAUACCAUGUCUCUUUUUACCUUUUCUUCUUGUCUUGAUGAAAGACUUCAAUAAUUACUCUUACUUUUAGAAUUUUGUUUUUCUUGACGUAUCAAUUCAUAUGAGAUGCUUAUUUAUCUUUAAGAAACCAAAGAUGGAUAUCUAAGGACUUUUGAGCCUAACCUAAAGUUUGUGUUCCCCAUGUAAUCUCCUACUGUUUGGAGGGCCAUGUCCAUUCCCAGAAAAUGUCUCAUUUGAAAGCCGCUUGAUCGAGACAUAUAUAUAAAGAAAUUUUGUUUCAGACACAGAAAAUAUUUAUUGUUACUCUCCAGCCAUUCAACUCGGAAAAGUUCUGCAGAAUUCAAAAAGGAUAACCUGUCUAUUUGAGUUGCCUUCAUUUAGAUUUUUGUUAAUCUCGUUAGUGUUUGCACUUGGUUCUUUCAAGUGGUGCAUUCAGUCAAAAAGAACAAUAGGAACAAUAGGAAUAAUUGGUAAGAUGUUAGAUUUACUUUUAGAAAAUUUGUAAGUUUAUAUGGAAGGUUUAUGAGUGGGGUUAAUUUUUUUAUAUGUUUUCCUUUUCUCUUUGAGAGGUUUUUGGAAACAUAAUAUGAUCUCAGAGUUUCACUUGAUUUUUUCUUUUUUUCCUUGAGAAACUGAAGGAAAAUUUUUGUUACAUCUCUACUGGUAUUCUCCUCCUGUUUCUUUAGCACAUUGAUGCUAGAGCUGCAGUGAAGGGUGGAAAAAGCUUUUCAGCUGCAGAAGAUGAUAUGGCAGAUGUCUACCCUUUACAACUCAGGCUUUCUGUUCAAAGAGAAACAAAUUCCCUGGGAGUGAAAAUUAGCAAAAAGGUAAGUUGAUGAAAGAAAUCCACCCACAUUGUGCUUGAUCUCCUUAUGUUUUGCCCUUUUCUUUUUUCUAGAAUUUAGUUUAAUUGUUUUAUAAUUUAGUAGUGUGUUUGUUAAGAUUUCACUCAUCAUUUGUUAGAUUUUCAACUAAACAUAUCAAAUUUAAGAUUUCACUAACAAUUUAUGAACUUCCCGAGUUUUAGAGCCUCUUAUCUCCUUAUCCAAGUUUUCUGAAGAUCUAUACCCUCCUAGCCUAACUACCAGUGCCUCUCUUAUCUUUCAUCAAUCUAAAAUCCUUGGAACCACUCGUAACUAAUAGAGUUUUCAACUGCCAAACAUCUCUAGUUUUGUGUUUUCAUUUUUAGAAUAAUCUCUUUGUUGGUGUUCUAAUACUUUUCUUCCUCGUUUAAGGAAUAGUCAUCUAUCUCACUCUCUCUUUGGGUGUACAUGCCUCUUGUGUUUGUUUGGUUUUUUAGAUUAUGAAGAAGGAAAGAUGACAAUGACAAGAAUCAAAGUCUAUAUUUCAAUUAGAAAUCUCCUCUCAUAUUCUUGUGCUUGACCCAAUUCCUUUCAUACAUAUUAAGGUUGAUGAUUUUCUUGAUUUCUUUCUUGUCUUGUUAAUUAAUUGCAUCUUUUUUUAUGAUGAAAGAAGUAUUAUUAGAAUGGAGAGAAGGUACAAAGAUAAAGAGAAUAAAGCAUCCUUGGUAAAACCUCCAAAAAGAUCAGGAGCAAAACAAAAAGGAAAAACUCAAUAAAAAAUAGCUACUAGUUUCUUUAUGACAAGAACAAAGAGAUAUCUUGAGAACACUUGUGAGCCUUGGCCUACAAAGAAGCCAAGAAGGUCACUCUGUCCUAAAAGAAUUUGAGGAAAAUACUGAUAUGUGAAGAUUCUUGCAUUUUGCUCAAUCAUCAGACCUGUAAACCAACAAAAGUCACCUCUAGGUGGGAUCCCAACUUCCUUCUUCACACAAACUCCUUUAAGUGAAGAGAUAAGAAAAUAUGUACAGAAGUUGUGGGGAGGGGUUGGCAAUCUCAUCAUGCCAAAAGUAUAAAAAAUCACAUUCCUAGCUACAUCAUAGUGAAGGAAGGGUAACAAUAAGAUUCAGCAUUCUUGAAAUACAUCAUACAAACGUCUAUGAAUAAUGCACAGUUAGACCUGUGAUCUUUUAACAAGUCAUCUGUUGUUAAUUUGGUAAGAACUACAAUCUAGGUAAAAGCUUUAACCAUGGAGGGAAUUUUAGCCAUUCAAAAAGCAUUGGUGAAAGUUUUGGAUAAUGUGUAGAACAGUUAAGAGAGGACUUGUUGUUAUCAAAACUGAAGGAGUCCAAAUUCCAAAACCUACUAUUAGGUUGAAAAGAAACAUUACAAGGUUCACGUAGCUUAAGCAAGGAGAGCAUAUCAACAGACUCCAGAUCAUUUAGGUUCCUGAAGAGAGACAUUCCAUGAGGUAUGCCUCUCAAAAAAAUUAAUGAAGUAGCAAAUAGGAGCAUUGUGACUCAAGGAAAGGUUAUCAGGAAAAUUAAAGUAAGUGGCACGGGGGAGAUCGCGAAUCCAGUUAUCUUCACAUAAAAAUAAAAUUCUAGUUCCAUCCCUAGCCUCAAAUCGGUAAGAUGAAUGAAAAGGUUAGAGUUGAGAGAUGACUUUCCAAUGCUUUAUGAGUAACUUCUUGCUUCAGAAUCCCAACAAUCUUUUCGCAUACCGUGGAUAUUCUUAAUCAACUUUUGCUACAGAGAAAAGGUCCCAAUCUAGAACCCCAAUUGGCUAUAUCAUUUUAGAAAGACUCAACCAAUAUAGGUGAUGGGCUUUGGCUACAUCAUUUUAGAAAGACUCAAUGAGAUAGGUGAUGGGCCUAGACAUCCUAUUAAACUUGGUUGUCUUGAUCCUCUAUACUAAACCCUGCAAGGCUGUUAUUAAGGUUCACCCAUCUCUAGGCUGGCCCUUAAGGUUUUUCAACAUGUUUUUUUUUCUUUUUUCUUUUUGGGGGUAUUUUGUUCAAAUUCUCACUUUAUGCCCAAAUGCGGAGUAGAUUUAAUAGUGGUAAGUGGGUUAGUGCUUAUUUAUCCAUUUGAUCAAAGUCAUGGUAUCCUUUGAUAGAGGGCCGAACAGUGGCUCGUGGUCAUUGAUCAUAUGUUUAGAAGCCUUUCUCAUUUGACUGAUGAACUUCUCUGCAUUCUUGACCGAGCUAAAUAUGGUCUACCAGAGGUGUGUCCGAAACCAUCCAAGUCAGAUAGGGAUUCACUUUUCUAACAUUAAAAGUAUUGAUUGCUGAUCAACUUCUUAAGCCCUUGAUACUUAUAUGAAUCUUGAAGUUAUUUAUUAUAUAUAUGAGACAACGAGAAUGACUGCACCAUAUGUUCCUUAUGACAACAUACAUAUCAAAAAGGUCCUUGAGCUGAUUACAUUUGAAUUGGUAGUUGACUAAAUGAGGAAAUUGCAUGUCAAGGAGAUCCUAAUUGUUGAUAAGGUUGGAUGGAUUAGCUUAGCUCUAGUGAUGUUGGAUCUUGAGUGUGAAUCAUUGAUUAUAGAAAUGUUUGAGCACUUAUAUGUGGAGGCAAGUAUAAUUCUUCUUUUACAGGAAACUGAUAAUAUCUUUGUUGGGUUGCUUCCUAUUCUCUACCGUAUUAGGAGAAAGAAGGAAAAAAGUUUUUUGUAUCUGGGGGCUUCCUCUCUGUGACCUUUUAAUGAGAAAGCUUUUUCUCUGAAAAAAAUAUGGUGUUGUAGAGGUGGAGCAUUUUUCCUGCUUGGUGGGUCAUUUGGUUGGACCUGAGCAAGAAUCUUCAAGCAUUGUUUUCAACUACCUCACAUGGUUUGGGAUAUGACGGUCUUGUUCACUUCACUUUGGAUUAAAGGCUUUGUUGUUUCUUAAAGCAAUGCUUUUAUCUACUUUGCAAAGAGAAUGGAUCUACAUUUUGUCUUUGAGGCUAUCUAGGAAAUAUUUUUAUUUUCCCUAAUAGUUAAUAUUCCCGUGUCUCUCUCUCUCUCUCUCUCUCUCUCUCUCGCUUAGGUUAUGAGUUCUUCCAAAUGAUUGUGUCUCAUUGCGUGUCAUCUUUGUAAUGAUCUGUGCAUGUGGGUAAGCUAAUAUUGGACUUCUGUCAUGGGAUUUCUGAUAUUCAGACAAAUACAUGAUUUGAUGUAAGCAUCUCAGGAUUCUACUUUAGGCCAGGAGGAAGGGGCUUAUAGCCGUUUGGUGUGGUACUCUUUUUGCUAGUUGUUGGGUUUUAUUGUUGAAGUGCAAUGCUAGAGUUUUUCAUCAGAACUUUUGAAUUGGAUGGUAAUUCUGGCUUUCUUCAUCAGCUAGGCAAACUGUCUUCUUUGGAGAUAUGCUAUUGUCUAUCUUGCAAAGGAAUUGAGAGGCUAUUCUUCAUUGAAAUAUUUCCUUCUGUUUUUAUUUUCUGGUUUUCCUUUUUGAUCCGAUUGUACAAGGAUGGUUGGCCCUUCGUAUCUUUGUAAUCUUUUUUUAUGCUCUUCUUAAUAAGACUUUUUAUUUUAUAAAAAAGUUAUUCUUUUCUGAGUUUUUCAUGCAAUUCAUAUAUCCCUCCUUAGUUUUUCAUUAAUCUCUUUAUGUUACUUUCAAUUGUUACCCAUCUCGGUUGUCCAGGGAUUAUUUGGUUUUAAUUUCCUGACAUAAUGCCAGUUUGUCAUUAAUCUCUUUAUGUUGCUUUCAAUUAUUAACCAUCUCGGUUGUCCAGGGAUUAUUUGGUUUUAAUUUCCUGACAUGAUGUUUUAUUUAGGAUAAUGCAGUUGAACUCUUCAGAAGAGCCUGCAAGAUCUUCAGCCUUGAAUCUGAGCAGGUAGUAUUUGAUUUAGUAAUGGAUUUUUUUGGGCUAUAUUUAUAUUGUUCUCUAAUUAUAAAAUUGUUACAGUUACGCAUCUGGGACUUUUCUGGGCAGACAACCCUAUUUUUUAUGAAUGACAAGAACAAGUUCUCAAAAGAUCAGGAGGUACGUGGUUAUCCUUGUUUAGUUAAUUUAUUUCUCUCUUGUCGCACUGUGUAAAGGCACUUAAUAUUAUUGGAUCUGGGGGAAGGCUUGCCUGCCUAUGUUUACAUCUGGAGAUAUUAUUGUGCAUCCUUUAUAUUAGCUUAUGUUCUUUGAAAUGCUUGAAUAUCUUUUGAUUGUUUUCUUUUUUUAGAGCCCAAGUGUGUAACAUUUAUAGAUGUCUUGCUGGUGACUCUUAGUGCUACAUACUGUUUAUCUCCAAAAAAAGUUAUGAAUGUCUAUUGAUUCUUAAUGUUUUGUUGAGGAGAAAAUAUAUAAAUGUGUUUUGUGUGAUUUUUGGAAUGCUUUUUUUUUUUAUAAAAAAAAUUAUUGAUCUUUGGAAUGCUUGAAUUGCUUUUAAUUGUUUUAUUCUAUUAGGUCCAUAAAUUGAGAUCUUAUAUGGAAUCUAUUGUGGAAGAGGGUAAGGGCUCUUUAAGGGAGAAUCCUUCAAUCUCUGAAUGAUAGGGGCUCGUGAAGAGUUAGCCCUUUAAUCUCUCAAUUUGUAAACAAAUUCUCUCUUAAUUGAAGAUAUUCUGGACACAAAUUUACUACCACAAUCAUUUUUUUUUAAAUAAAAAGUACUACCAGAAUCACUUGUCUGCAUGCAUUAAUGUGGAUAAUCAUUUGUUAAAGGUCUAGCUGGAUUGGUUGGGUGUGUUAUCUUGGACUGACCUAUUACCUUUUUGGGCAUUCCUCUGUUGGGUAAUUCUAGAGCAGCUUCAUUUUGGAAUCCGGUGGUAUCCAUGGUUUCUAGACACUUGAGCAUUGAAAGGGUGCUCUUUUUUAUCUUGGUGGGAGGGUUACUCUUAUUCAAGCAUGCCUCUCUAGUAUUCCCAUCUAUUAUCCUUCUGUUUUCAAGAUCCCUGAGGGCGUAGCCUAGAAUCUCGAGAGAGUGAUGAGAAAUUUUCUUUGAUCUGGAUUGGUGAGUCCUCAAGUCCAUUUAAUGAGAUGGAGGGUGUGUUUCCUUUCUGAGAAAAUGGGGGUUUUGGUAUUGAGAACCUUGCUUGUAAAAACCAGUCUUUUAAUGAAUAAAUAGUGGUCGUGUUUUCCUAUGGAACCUUGCUCUUUAUAGCAUAGGAGGGUUGUUAAAAAUAAAUUUGGGCUACAGCAGAAUGGAUUGGAUACUAAAUCUAUUGUUUCCUUUCCUCACAAAAGCUUUUGCAAAGCUAUUUCUCAACUUUAUGUGUCUUUUUCCCCUUUGAAGGUGGAAGAUGGUUCCAUAUAUAUAUAUUUUCUGGUUGGAUUCUUGGCAUGGCCAUCUCCUUAUGCCUAUUCAGUACCUGCUUUUUGCACCUCGAUAGCCUUUUGCUUCACCAUAACUAUCCUAUCUCUUGUUUCAAGGUUCAUAAGAAUGGUUCUAUUUCUUGGCAUUUUUUCUUCCAUGAAAUCUUAAUUAUUGUGAAGAGGAUGAUAUGCUUUUUUUCAUUUUUUGCUUCUGGCUCUUGAAGCUAUCAUUCUUUUUCCAGCCUUUAGAGUAGGUUUUGGUCUCUGGAUUCAUCAGGCAGCUUGGUCUGGUUAUUCAAUAUCUUUGUUGGGUCAGUCCCUUCAAAUCUUGAAUCAUUCAUUAUUCUUAUUUUUGUGCUUUUGGGGAAAAAAAGGAUGUUAAAUUGUUGUGAGGGGCCUGCUUUUUGGUAGUUUGUGGAUAGGCUGUGGUUGGAGAGAAAUGCUACAAUGUUUUAGGAUCUCUGUUCUCUUUUCUUAUUUCUUUUGGAAUAGAUGACUUUUUUGAUCUCCCUUUUGGUUAAGGCAUGAAGGCUGUAUAAGGAUAUUUCUCCAUGUAUUUUACAUAGAAAUUAUUCGGCUGUUCUUUAUUGAUUUUACUUUAUCUCAACAUUUUCUGCUUUUGGUUUUCUUUUAUUUUUUAUGACACCUAAUCCUUCUCUUAUAUACUUUCUCCCCCAUUUUCUAAUUAUGCAUUUUCCAAAAAUGUCCUUCCAAGAUGAGAGUUCUUUUGUUGGAAAUUCGAAAUCCUCCCGAUGAAUUGUUUGUGUAGAGAUCUGGUGUCACCAAUAACACUUAGCAUCAGUACCAAUAUGUUAAGUCUCUUUGAUUGAGAUCUUGUUAUGAGAUUGUUGUGGAAGAGGAUAAGGGCUUGGUAAAACAGAACUGUUUGAUUGCCAAAAUGGUAAUGGUUAUGGGUGUUCUAAUUCAGUCUAAACUGGAAAAUUGGACAAGACCUAAGAGAUUGCUCUGGUACCUGGUCCUAAUACUUAUAAAUUUUGGGACAGUCCUAUGAGACUCUGUUACGACAAUAAGUGAUUAACGUCGCCUCACAAUCCAGUACAGUAUGAGAGAACUAAUUACGUUGAAGUAGACAGAUACUUCAUCAAAGAGAAGCUAGAUACUGGACUGAUUUGUACUUCAUGCAUGUCAACUAAGUCACAACCUGCCAUUGUUUUGACUAAAUGAUUAAGUAAUCAUGUAUUUUAGACAAUUAUUGCCAAACUGAGAAUGGAUAAUAUAUAUUCAUCAACUUGAGCAGAAUUAUUAAGUACACAUUGGGGUUUCAUUAGGGUAAAGGAUAUAUUAGUAAUAUAUCCUGGAUCUUUGUGAUCUUUGUAAUUAUUACUGUUUCUUUUUUGUUGUUGCUAUUCACUUGUAUAUAUAAGGCCUUGAUAUUUAAUGAAAUACACAACAAUUCAUUCUUCUACAAUAUUACCUCAGUAGUCAGAAUGCAGCAUUGUUUAUAAGGUGAAAGCUCCCAAUAAGGUGAAGGUUUCCAUUUGGAUUGGCCAUCCGAUAAGGUGAAGGUUUUCAUUUGGAUUGCCAUCCGUAACAAGAUUAAGACUGAUGUCUGCUUCUGCCAUGCAGAACUAAUUGUUUGUUAUUUUGGAAAAAUUGAACGAUCUGUUUUUAAUAAGCAUGAACCCAUCCUGCGGGUUAACAGCUACGUCACUUGGAGUUUUUGAACUAGCUCUUUGAUAUCUUUGCUGUGAGUUCAGUUUGUUUCCCUUCCCUUAAAUUAUCGUUAUCUCUUCUCUCUGUUGGUUUGGUAGGAAUAAGUAGCAGAAAAUGUUAUGCAGAGGAUCUAGUCUUCCUGGUUUAUAGUUGGAAAGAUUGUUUCUGGCCUCUCUUUUUUGUGUUGGACAGAUUGGUAUUUUGCCUCUUUUGGUAUUGUGUCGGACAUAGUGUUUCUGACCUCUUUUAGAUGUGCUUUGGGUUAAUGCUCAUGCCUCUUUGGGUGCUUUUAGCUAUUUUCCAAAGGGAUUGGGCAUCUAUCCUCCAUUGGAGUGAAUUUGUUUUUCUGUUUUCAUUUUUGUUUUUCCCCUGUUGGGAAAAAUUGGGUUUUCCCACCCGAUAUUGAGAUUUGUUUUCUGCAUAUGUCUAUGUAUGGGGUGACGAACAAAGAGCUAAAAUGCUGUGGAGAAGGGCUCUAUUUUGGAUGCCGGGUUUUAUGGCUGGAGCGAAAUGCCAGAAUUUUCAGCAACACGCUAAUGCUACAGAAUCUCUUUUAUGAUAAAUUAACUUGUAUGGCUUCUCUACGGGCUAAGGCUUAUGGCUCUUUUUGGAGUUUGCCUUUAUCUAUUAUGCAAGGGGACUGGGAGGCACAUUGAUUUUGGCAAUCUUUUCCUCUUUUGAGGAUGGCUUAUCCUCUUCUAUUUGUAUUCUUCUCCUUUCUUAGUGUAAUCUUCUUUCUCUAUAAAUAAUUAAGGAUAUCUUAAUAUUUUAAUAUUUUAUCCAAAAUAUGUUACCAAUUUUUAUGCAUGAGCUCUAAUGCGGCGUUACUUUACAGAUUCUUCUGGAGUUGCAAAUUUAUGGGUUGUCUGAUUUAGUAAAAUGCAGAGAAGGGAAAAAGGAUGAAUUGUCUUUACAACAUGCUAACCGGACAAAUUCCUUUUCUGGUGUGUCACCUAUGAUGAAUGGUAAUGCUGGUCAUUCAAGCUUCAAUGUUGCACGAAACAAUUCAUCAUUUUGGGGGAAAGCUGGAGAAGCUGGUUCACUGGGUUUGACAGGAUUGCAAAAUCUUGGAAAUACUUGCUUCAUGAACAGCGCCCUUCAAUGCUUAGCGCACACACCAAAGCUUGUUGACUAUUUUCUAGGAGAUUAUGUUGGAGAAAUAAAUCAUGACAAUGCGCUGGGAAUGGAUGUAUGCUACAUCUAUCCUUCAUCUGUGUCAUGUUCUGUGGUUAUCUAGACAUGUGGCUUAUUUCAGUUCACUGACAUAAAUGACCUCUUUGGCAGGGUGAGAUUGCUUUAGCUUUUGGGGAUUUGAUAAGGAAGUUGUGGGCACCUGGUGCCACUGUUGUUGCACCAAGAACUUUUAAGUCAAAACUUGCCCGUUUUGCUCCUCAAUUUAGUGGCUUUAAUCAGCAUGAUUCCCAAGUUAGUGAAGUUCUCUUGCUCAAAGACAUUUGUCUUGGUUUCGUUUUUCUUUCUCCCUGUCUCAGUGGGUAAGAGAAUAUAGUUGCACUUAUGUUUUCUGCAUGUCAUGAAAAGGAACUGCUUGCAUUUUUGUUGGAUGGACUUCAUGAAGAUCUUAAUCGGGUAAAGAGUAAGCCUUAUAUGGAAGCCAAGGAUGGAGAGGGUCGACCAGAUGAAGAAGUAGCGGAUGAAUAUUGGCGAAAUCAUUUGGCUCGUAAUGACUCGAUCAUAGUUGAUGUGUGUCAAGUAAGUAUUUAUUCUGAGAUUUUGGCAGAAACCACAGUGGAAAUUCCUUUUUAUUGGACUUCUGGUAAUCAAAACAUGAGUUCAGAUUGUUAAUCACAUUUCUAUCUGGAGGCAUUAUAGUGGAAAGUGAAUUGUGCUUCUGAAUGAGUUGAGACAGGCAUCCUAUCUAGUUUUGAUUUGCAGAUGUUUGAAAUAUGUAUGGCAUGGAAUGGAAUUUGUCCAUAAAAGUUUUUUUCUUUUAUGUACUGUUCAUAAUGCGAUUCUUGCAUUGCAGUAUGCCAGAGGUCACUUGGUCUCAAGACCUUAUCAUGGCAGAUGCGGUUGACUUUCAUUAUUUUACAGAAAUCUGGUUGCUAUAGCUGAAGUAGGAAAAGUAACCUGAUAUAUGAUUAUGCAUUGUAAUAACUUAGAUAUUGAAUCUCUCAACAAAAUAACUUAGAUAUUGAACAUCUUGGUUCUUUUUUUUCUGAAUAAAAAAUGUAAUAUUAUUCAUAAAGCACCAAAAGGAUGCAACAUAUAUGCAAAAAAUUUACAAGUUUAGCAAAAUAUGAAUAAGGUUCUCCAAAUCCUCACUUAAAUACACAAGUUAGACUCUUAAUCAAAAUACUCAAGAGUUUAGAACCACGAGUUUUUAAUUCUAUCAAAGUUACCAUAAUCCUCUCAGAGGCAUGUCUACUCCUCUCUUUCCAAUAAUCCAAAUGGUGUGAAAAGAAAUUUAAUUGUCUCCAUAUCACUUAUGAUGCCCUCUAUGCCCAAAGUUCCUCUCUCAUUGUGCUGGCUAUGACCCAACUUAGGUCCAAAAGCUAAAAACCAGUGAACAUAGGGGAUGUACUAGUAGGUACUAAGGAGGAUAUGAUUGCAAUGUCUCUAUCAGUUUUGUACAAGAAACACCUAUCCAUCAGAACUUUGCCUCUCUCGCUUAACUUGUUAAGAGUGAGAAUGCAUUCUCGCAUUGCUUCCUAAGCAAAAAAGCCAUUCUAGGAACCCCCUUCACCUUCCACAUUGAUCGCCAAGGAAACCUCUUUUUCUUUUCCUCUGGGUAGUCAGAAAAAGUUGUUAGGACUUGACCAAGAAGAGUCCCUUGGAACAUAGACUCCAAGAUAGUUCAUCCUUGCUGUUCUCAGAGAUCACCACCUGCAGAAAAGCACUGUGUAUCCCCCACAUACUCCACUCCCCAAUCAUUCAUAUUCAGGUCAACAGCCCAAACACCAUAACAAAGAUGUGCCUCCUAUACUUUGAUGUCAUUGUCUUGAGCAAUACUGAAAAUUGAGGGAACUUCAAACGAAGUGCUCCCUCUUUCAUUGAAUAGUCCCUCCAUAGACUCACCCUUUUACCCGAUGCAAUUCUCCAUCGAAUGUAGCUUUGAAAGGCCCCCUUAUUCUUAACAAUCCUCUUCCACAAUCCAAGCCUAUAUGUUCCGUUUAAGUUUUGUCUACCACCCAAAACUUCUUCACCUCAAAUUUUGCUCCGAUUGCCAUCCUCUAGGAACUCUUCCCCUCCCUCAUUGAUAUCCAAAACCUUUUGCCUUGUAAAGACAUUUUGGGUUUCACCAAAGAUCUCUCACCCAGACCACCAUUUUGAUAUGAGUGUUUAACCACAUCAUAUUGCCACAAGAUGAUAUUUACUUUUGUCUUCUAAGUCCCUCACAGAAGUCAGCAUUGAAUUGUCUCUAAUCUCUUCGCCAUGCUCGCAUGAAUGGUGCCCAAAGACAUAAAGUAGAUGAGAAUAUUAUCCAUUGAGCUUUUGAUAAGAGUAAAUCUUUCCCCCUUCAAAAGUAAAUCCCUCUUUUAUCUGGUCAAACGGAAUUCAAAUUUGUUCACCAUCAAAUCCCACACCGUAUAAUUGACACCCAACAGAAAUGCAUACCAAAAUGGUGUUCAGCUAUUCAUCUUUCUCAUGCAUGCUCAACUGCAACAAUUCUGACUUAGCCAAAUUAAUCUUAAGACUGGACAUGGCUUGUAGGCUCAACAAAACACACCUGAUAUUGAGGAGGUCACUGGGACUUGGCUCACAAAAUGGUAGCGUAUCAUUUGCAAAUAAUAAGUGAAUCACUUUUACCUCUUUACCGAUCCUGCCCACCUGCAAGUCUAAUUGAGGUUCACCAUUUAUUCUUGGAGUCCAUUCUCUUCAUCAUAUAAAACAGAAAACUCCAAGCUACAUGGUUGCAAGCCUCUCUAUAUCAAGCUUGUGUAAAACCUCUCGCUCUCCCUUCUUCAACAAAAUGUCAGCAACCUCAUUUUCUAUCAAGGUUGCAUCAAGAAUUUGUCUUCCCCCUCCCCUCCAAAACAAAAGCAUGUUGGCGUUUCCUAGUUCUUGCUAGGAUUUUAGCAACUAAUUUACACACAGCACCCACAAGGCUAAUAGGCCUAACAUUUAUGAUAUUUGGCGCAACUUGGAUCUUUGGAAUAAAUACUAGAAAAGUUGAGUUUAGAUUUUUCAUAAAGGACCCUGAAGCAUGGAAUUCAUGAAAGGUAGCCUUUAGACCACUCUUGAAAAUGGCCCACUUUUGUUAACAAAAAUCUCAUAUUGCCGUACAGCCCCAGAGCCUAGUCCCCUUUACAACCAAUAUAGCCUCAUUAAUUUCCUCCUCAGAAAGAGCUUGUUUUAAGGAACAUGAAAUCUUGAUUACUUAGCCUGUUGAAACUCAAUUCAUUAAAAGUAGUUUUCCAUGGUUCCACUUCUCUAUGCAAGUCUUCAAAGAAAAAACAAAAAAAAAACUUAACAUCCUCUCUUAAUUCCUCUUUCCCUUUUCUCAACUGACCACCUGCUUCUAGCUCCACUACGUAAUUGCAUCUCCAAUUGUAAUUAGCCAACCAACGGAAGAAUUUGGUUUUUCUAUUGCCCUUCUUGAUUUACUUGGUUUUGACUUUUGUUGCCAGGCUAUCUCCUCCCUCAUAAUGAUAUUAGCAAGCUCUAAUAAGCAGAACAUCCUGUCUCCGCUCCCCAUCCUCCUCACAGAGACCCCUGUUUCCUUCCAUCUUGUUUAAUAUUUGAAGCUCGGAAAAGAGCUUGUCUUUCCUCAGGCUCUCCUCCCCCAGUUCCUCCCUAUUCUACCUAUUGAGCUCGUCUUUUAACAUGACAAGCUUUUUGGCAACUCUCAGGAUAUCAAAACCAGUACCUUCAUCUCUUCCCAUCACCCCUUAAUCUUAUUCUGGAACUCAAGAACUUUGAGCCAAUUGUUCUCAAUUCUAAGUGGACAUUGUUCACACCUGAUGCCAUUUGUCUCCAAACUUAUGGGAAAGUGUUCGAAAAUUAUACACUGCAUAAUUUUGUCUAACAUUUGAAUCAGUGUACCUUAAACGAGUUAGAAACAAUAAGACGAUCAAUUCUUGAAUAAGAGAGAUUCUCCAUGGAGCUCAAUCACAUCCAUCUCCCACCAUUUAGCGGCAAAUCCAUAAAGUCUAGUCUAUCCAUGAUGUCAUGGAAUUCCUUUAGUAUAGACCUUGGACUAACUCCCCCUCCCCCUCCCCCCCAGAUCUGAUGGUUGUUCAGCACCAAGUUGAAAUCACCACCAGAAGAUCCCGUCUCUUUUUGCACUUGUCCAAGUCCUCCUGCAAAAUCUCUUUCUGAAACCUCUGCAAGCGUGUGUGACACCAGUAAACACUCAUCUCCUUUCAUUCACCUUACAUCUGAACGCAGAAGAAAUAGAAUGCCUGCUUUAAAACUGUCCUCGAUUUCCAGUGCAUUCUCAUUUUGUUACACCACCAUCCCUCCAACCGGCCCCCCUGCCAAUAACUCUCUCCAUCCCAUCUCCUUGACUUUCCGUAGAUUAUGGGCCGUCAAAUCAGAGAAAAUCUCCAUUUUAAACUCUUGAAAACAAAUAAUGUCUAGUUUCCACCUUGCCAUGCACCCCUUAAUAAGGAUCAUUUUUCUGAAUCAUUCAAUUUCCAACACAACAUAAUUUUAUUAGUCAUAAUGGCAUAAUCGAAGAUUCUCCCUUUUUCUCCUCUCCUCUCUACUAAUUUUUUCAUAAUUUAUUGGCAUCUGAAGCCNNNNNNNNNNNNNNNNNNNNNNNNNNNNNNNNNNNNNNNNNNNNNNNNNNNNNNNNNNNNNNNNNNNNNNNNNNNNNNNNNNNNNNNNNNNNNNNNNNNNNNNNNNNNNNNNNNNNNNNNNNNNNNNNNNNNNNNNNNNNNNNNNNNNNNNNNNNNNNNNNNNNNNNNNNNNNNNNNNNNNNNNNNNNNNNNNNNNNNNNNNNNNNNNNNNNNNNNNNNNNNNNNNNNNNNNNNNNNNNNNNNNNNNNNNNNNUCCUGAUUGUCAACAUCAUCGAUUCCUCUCUUCUUCUCCCUGAUUUCACCUGCCACUGAACCCUGGGCUUGGAUCUAGGGGCCUAUUUUCCUUUCUCUUUUGCAGUGGCCUUUUGGAUGGUCCUUUCCUUAUAUCCUGCCUGAUUAGGCAUAUUUGGGCCACCCACUAAAGCAUGUGGAUCGUGCUUUUAGUGUUUGUUGGAUCGGGUCUUGACCCAGAAUUUUACUGACUCAUUUCAAUGCCAGGCUUCGUCUCCCCUGCUUGAUACUGCUUCUCUCUUCCUUUGCUAACCACUUCCGGAAAACGACUGCUCAAGCUCCUCCAGCAUCACUUGCAGCCAAAUCCCGCUGUUGGGACAACUCCCACCUGGCAAUCUGUUAGUGGAUGGAAAUCUUCCAGUAGCAGAGUCUUCUGCUUUGUUCUUGAUUGUUAGAGCUGCUCCUAAAAGAUUUCCCAUCUAGUUACACACUGCCACCAGCAUUCUCUAGUAGCCACUGGCCUGUAAAACCUCCAGGAUGAUAAUUCUCCUCCUACUUCCUUCUCUAUGUUAAGGUCAGAUAAUUUCCACCCCAAUUCUCCCUUAACGCUAUUCAUAAUGAAUGUCGAGAACCAAUCAGACUCCUAACCCAUGAACUGCUCCGCUUCUCCUAGUAGAAAUCCAUGAGCGUUUGUGCGAUCCACUCCAUUUCCUUUCCCCAGAAUAUUAUAGAGGCCUAAAUCCUCUUCUGUUUUUGCUAAUCUUGAUGCCAUUCUCUUCUUUCUCCACUACAACCACAUCAAGACUUCCUUUCUGCAGCCAAGAAUUUCCUGAUUGUAGAGGACAGUUAUCUUCCUUUGGUGAGAAAAAUCUCACUGAUCUUUUUGCCUUGAUCAAACAGGUUUGAUUGAGGCCAAGAUUCAGCUGGAAAGUUGCAUAGGACUCCAAGAUCGCCUUGGAAAGGUCCUUCGAACUUCCGAGGGUCCAAACUGGCCACCCCAGUUUGCAGCAGUUGUGCAUGUGAUGUAAAGCUCAGCUUGCAUUCCCGCUGUUGUGAAAGAUGGAAGAGAUGAAACACCUAACAUCUAGCCAAGGUACAGUGGGUUAAAGUGGUAUUUUUCUUGCUCCACAACCGCGUGAGCCUUUCCCCCACUCAGUUGAAACCUAGCCCCAGAGACCGAGGACUACAGCGACCAGUGAUGAAGAAUGAAAGCUGUCGAGAUGCUCCCUUAUGUUACAGCUGCUCUGGGGUUGACCAGAAUGGUGGUGGCCUAAGGCAGUGAGCUAGGAGGAAGAGGAAGUUGUGCGAAGUUCUUGCUCCUGAUGUUACUGUUACAGCUGCUGCUACAAUCCGCCACACAGAUUGAACAUCUUGGUCCUAGUUGGGAUUUGUUAAUUUGAUUCUGAGCAAUUUUCUUUUGUAGGAUUCUUAAACAUUUUAAAUUAAUGUUAAUUUGAUAUGGUUAGCAUCUUUUCUAAUAGUCUUUUUCCAAGAAAUGUAGUUUGCACUUUUUCAAAAGAAGGUAAAAUAAACAAAAAUAUUAGAAUGAAGGGAAGCAGACACAAAAUGGAAGAAAAUGCUUCAAGACAAAGUACAAUUCCAAAGGGUAGCCAAAUCCCGUUCAAUGUUGAUAAAUGAAACUCUAGAAAUAGACCAUGAGCCUUAACCGAAAGAGAAGCAGAGAAAACAUUUCAAAGAAACUUGAAAGGUGAAACUUUGCACAUUUUCUUUCUUAACGUUUCUUUAUUAGCAUGUGAUGCUAAUAUAUUUGAAUUACUCCGAACAUAAUCUGUUUCCCGUCUUGCAUUAGACCUUUUUUUCUUAGUAUGCAGCUUGGGCAUUUUCUUGCAGUUUCUUUAUUAGCAUGUGAUACAUUUGCAAUCUAAUUUUCAUUGUAGGGUCAAUAUAAAUCAACAUUAGUUUGUCCUGUUUGCAAAAAGGUCUCUGUUACCUUUGAUCCCUUCAUGUAUCUGUCUCUACCUCUGCCGUCAACAACAAUGCGGACGAUGACUUUAACGAUUGUGAGUAAUGAUGGCACAACUCAGCCAUCUCCAUGUACUGUGACUGUCCCGAAACCUGGAAAAUUUGAAGACCUUAUUCAGGCUCUGGGAACUGCAUGUUCUCUACGGGAUCAUGAGACCUUAUUGGUGGCUGAGGUAUGUUGUGUAUUUAAUGUUUGGAUGUACUAGGUUGGUUCCAAAAUAUUGAUGUUUUCCAGUGCCAUAAGUUAAGUCAGUCCCUGUGGAAGUACAAAAAAGUAAAUCCAACAGCUGACGUUGGUUUCCACGGAGUUGUAGGAGAGAAACUGUUUCCCACUAUUUUACGAGGCUGCACAUGGACAUCUCUUGAGAUAGCAAUUUCCAAUCUCCAUCAGAAUUGGGAGGCUAACAUCUUUACUCAUUAACAGCUCAUACAUUUUGUUCAUCUAUUUUGUGUUAAUGUUGUUUCUUUUGUUCCAAUGAUAUCAUUCAGAUGUUUUAUUCUCCUUUUUGUACUUUUUCCUUUCUCUUAAUAAAGCUUCAUUUUCUAUUUUUUUUUUAAAAAAAACUAAUUGACAAGGCUGCUUAUUACUACAAAUUGUCAUUUUUUUGUAAAAGAAAAACUUAUCUUUUUGUACUGAGUAAAAACUCCUUUAUUUCAGAUCCCAUUUCUCUUUUCAUUUCUAACCAUUUUUUUCUGGCAAUUUCAUUUUCUUUUCCCUUUGGUCUUCUCCAAAAAAUAUUCCUGAUUCUAUACAAGGUAUUUAUUGUCUCCUCCCCCUAUAUGUCUUCUUCAAUUUUACAUGGCCUUUUUGUAUCUCCAAAACAUAAUGGCAUACUAUCUUUUAUCAAUUUUGUUACUCGACUUAUCCAAAUGUGUUUUCUUAAAUCUCUGAGGCAAUAGACUCCUGUGCAGAUAUACAACAACCGCAUUAUACGAUAUCUAGAAGAGCCUGCUGAUUCGUUAUCUUUGAUUAGAGAUGGUGACCGAUUGGUUGCAUAUCGAUUAAUGAAAGAUAUGGUCAAAGUUCCUUUAGUUGUAUUUAUUCAUCAGCAAAUGGAAGAGUAAGUUUGUUUUGUUUGUAACUUUGAUGUUAUUUUCAGCAUGUUGGCUUCUUCUAUUCAUAUUAAUUAUAUUUGUUCACUUCUAGCAUCCUUUUUAUCCCAUUCCCCUUCUUUGUCUGACCUAUAGCUUUGGUCUCAGCUCCCUCACUGAGAUAUUUUUUAGAGCUACCUUGUACCUUCCAAUAUCUUAUUAAUUUUCUAUUGUCAGGCAGUACUUCAAUGGGAAGCUGACUCCAACUUGGAAGGCAUUUGGAAUCCCUAUGGUAGCAAGGCUUUGUGAUAUAGUCAAUGGGUUCGAUCUCCGCAGUCUGUACUUGAAAUUGAUUGCGCCCUUUCGAUUAUCUGCUGAGAGUAGUGCAGAUGAUUGUGAUUCCACAGAAGGCUGUGCAAUGGAAGAAGCUCCUGGGAGGGAAGAUGGUAGUGAUCCUGUUUUAGAUGGAGAAGGAAAUCCCAUUAACGUGAAACAGGCUUCAUGUACAGAUUCUAAACUAAAAUUCUACCUGACAGAUGAUAAAGGAACUUCAAAGGAGUCUUUGAUAGAAAUGCACGAACCUCUAGCAAUUACAGGAGUAUCCAAGCGGCUUAAUGUGCUAGUAUGUUGGCCAAAAAAGCCGAUUGAACAGUAUGAUACACGUCUUCUUAGCUCCUUACCUGAAAUUUUUAAGUCUGGAUUUUUUGCAAAGAGACCUCAGGAGUCUGUUUCCUUGUAUAAGUGUCUUGAAGCAUUCUUGACUGAGGAGCCUCUUGGUCCAGAUGACAUGUGGUGAGUGUAGAAAUUAUAUAGUAUAUAGUUUUUUAACUUAAGCAGAAGAAAUAUUUCCAUUAUGAAUAGUUAUUAUCAAAAAUUGUUUACCUGACUUGCAUAGGAGAGGUAUUACAAGUUAUUUUAACCUGGUUUCUUAUUUUUUCUGAACCAUUUUGCACACUACGAAUUUCCCUGAUAUUAUGCUUUUGUUUGACAGUAAGUUGGGUAUCAUUUUUCUUGUGUCAAAAGAUCUAGAAGGCUAGUAACUUACUUUGUCACUAAUUUUAAUGGAUCUGACUUUAAAUUAUAACACUAGAAAAAAUUGUUGUUUUCUUGAAGAGCUUUCCUAUGUGAAGGAAUUGGGUAUCACAUUCGCGCACACAGCAUACUAACUUAAUUGAAGUAAUUCUCUUUUGCUUAUUCUGCUAUGAAAUCCUUGUGAACUGAAGUCUAUUGGAGUUGGAAAGCUCCAUUACUUUUUAAUCUCUGGCUUGCUUUUUGUCAAACAUUUGAUGAUGGUAAUAAGAUGAGAUCUUGGAUUCUUCCUUUCUGCCCCAUCUGCUAUAGCUGCUUCUUGUUUAUAACACUAAGCCUGGCUCUAGUGUUCUUUUUUUCUUCCUCUACAUGACUGGGAUAUUUAUUCUGAUGCUUCCAUUUUCCAUUUGGUUCUUUCUUUUAACUUCCAUAGGAAGGAUUUAAUGUACUGAGGUGGCAAACGGUUUUAUUGGUAUAAUGAAUUUUUCACUUAUAGAUUUCACGUCUUCUUGGGCUUUCCUUGUCUGAACUGUGGCUUGCUUUUGUUUUCCACCACAUGCUAAUUUCUGGUUUUCAUUUAUGUAAUCUAGGUAUUGUCCUGGCUGCAAAACACAUCGUCAAGCUGUUAAAAAAUUAGAUCUGUGGAGACUCCCAGAGAUUCUCGUUAUUCAUUUAAAGAGGUUUUCAUACAGUCGGUUCCUAAAGAACAAACUUGAGACUUAUGUUGAUUUUCCUGCUGAUGAUCUUGAUUUGUCACCAUAUGUUACCCAGUGGAAUUGCCAAUCAUCAGCUCGGUACAUGCUUUAUGCUGUUAGCAAUCACUAUGGAAGCAUGGGAGGUGGUCAUUACACUGCAUUUGUCCAUGUAAGUGAUAUGUCCCCAUGUUCUUCAUAUGUUCUGGUUUGAGGUGAAUAUUUUUGGUCAAGAGUGGCUUUAGAUGGCCUUUUCCCACAUGGAUAGGUGAAUGUCAUCAGGCUUCUGCUGGUUCAUGUCUCGGCUUUAGAACCUGCUGCUCCUUAGGAAGUUAAAGCUCUGGUUAGCACAUGAAAUCUUUUUUUUUCCCUAAUUUGUAUGUUUAUGUAGAUAAACAUACUUGCAUAGUUGACAAUGAUGACAAGGUAUGGAAAAUCAUUUUUGAGAUAACUAGUUUCUUUCUUGAGAUAACAAGGUAUGGAAAAUCAUAUUGAAGUAAGAAGUAGAAAUUAGUUAGGAAUUGAAUGAGAACUGAACUAAAUACAACUCUUGGUUCGACAUCAGUUGUCUUCACCUAUUACCACCGCAUUCAGCAUAUACAAACCAUUGAAGGCAUCCAGUUCUUGGCGCUUAAAAGGUCAAUUAAUCCGAUGCUGACGCUUAGGAAAAUUUCGAAUAGCUUUCACUUUAAGCAAUACUAUAAGUUCCUUCAUUUUUCUGCCGUCCGCUUUUACUGUAUUGAUCUUCUUUUAAUUAUUUACAGAUUGUCUAGCUAAGUUAAGAUAUGGAGGUUUAUUUGUAAAGUUUUGAGUGCUUUACUGGCAUAAGCUUUAUGCUAUUAAACGUUUUGAUUAAAGAUAUACUUAUUUAUUGCUAUUUAAUUUAAUAAAAGACUGAAAUUUGCGACAAAAAUGUUUUAAGGGUUUAAGUUAUAGAAUUUUGAGAUAAAAUUAUCUUUUACUUAUCACCAAUGUAUUGGAAGACUUUAUAUGCUGUCUAGCUUCUUUCAUGUUAAAUUGUUGCAAAAACUUAUAAGCUUUCUAAUUACCCAGCUUUGGCUUUUCAUCCUAUUCAAACAUGUUUCCAACAAUAUUAAUCUCAGAGAGCUUACGAACUCUUUUAUAAACUUUUCUUAGCCAAAAAAUAAUUUAUGUCAAACACUGUACUAGCCAUUUAAGUAUCUUUCUGCACUUCUAGGAUGUUGAAGAGGCUAGUGUUAGGCAAAAGAGCUUUUCUUGGACAUGAUUUGGUGAAAAACCUUAAGUGAUUAGAGCUGUAACUCUCCAACCGUAAUGUAAAUGCUUUCUUUAGCUGGGCCAUUUUAUGCAUCUUUUAGAAUGUAGCAUGCGCAUUAGUCCUGCAUAAUUGCUUGUGAAGAAAAAGAUAUUUAGGAUCUAAUUGAUCUAUUCAUAAGCUAAUGACUUAAUCUCUCUUAAUUUGUGAUUGAUAAUCGCAUGUAUGCAUGACAGUGCACUGUAUUAAUCUGAAUGUCUUAAUGUUCCCCUUUCUAUUGUAGCACGGUGGUGAUCAGUGGUAUGACUUUGAUGAUAGCCAUGUCUAUCCGAUCGGCCAGGAAAAGAUAAAAACUUCAGCUGCUUAUGUUCUUUUCUACAGAAGAGUUGCGGAGGUAUAACAUUAGAUUAGCAUUGUCAAUUUCUGAAGAACUACGUCGAGAUUGACUUAUUAACAGUUUUGCAAUCUUAGACCUAAAAUUCUUUCGAGUCCAUUAUUAACUAUUAACUGUAUCAUGGUGGGAGCUAAAGCAGUAAGACCAUAAAGAGGAGAAUAUUUUUAGUGAAUUUAAGAAGAAAACACAUGUAACUAACUGCUAGAGGAAGAAUGUUUAGCUUUUUAUUAGAACAUAGGAAUUUUUUCUAAGAAGGGGUUUGCUUUCAGUGUCCACUCAAAUGUAUGUUGUACAACUGAGUGUAGAUUGAAUCAUUUGAUCAGCAAUUUUGCUUCUAUCUGGAUGUGCUGUCUCAAAUUCAGAAUUUUGUUUUAAUGCUUCUAUAUUUUCUGAGUAGCUUGAGCUCGUAAACAUUCUAUAUAUUCCUGGGACAAAUUGAGCAAAGAUUUUAAUCCAUUGUAAAGCUUUUAUAAUUCAGUCUUAUGGCUGUUUGUGGAUGGAAUUCUUCUGCACGCAUGGAAUGUGUAUGUCAAUGUCAUCCCCCAGGGCUUAAACUGUGUAAAACAACAGCAAGGUCUGGUAAAUACUAUGUUUUCCUUAGCUUUGAGUAAUUUUUGGAUAUUUAUUUCGCCGAGCAUGAUAAAACAAGGUUCUUCAAUAUAUGGAUCUUCAUUUAUGUGAAAGAAUUUGCGGCUUGUACUGUUUUCUUAUUGUGAGGUUGCUGGAUCUUCCUACAUAUCUGAUUUGUGUUAAUGUACUGACACAGUCCGAGUUAUAUAAGAAAGAGGGUGCAGUGCAGCAUAAGGUGAUUUCGCUAAGUAAGUUAUCAAAACUAUACCUUCAUCGCUGUUGAACUUGCUCAAAAUGGUUGUUGAAGUCUGUCUCGGACCCUUGAAGAAAUCCGAUUGUGAUGAAUUCAGUUUCCUGUCGAAGUUACUCUGGAAUUAUCUCCUAGCAUGCAUGGUCCGAAGUUGGCAGGACGAUUUAUCAGGUAGAAAAUAGAAAAUUUCGUCCAAUUUACAUGGAGAUUUCUUUCAGCAACCACAUAAAAGUGAAUGCAGAAUUAGGUCUCAGGAGCUUUUACAAUGCUCUGUUGCACAGAUUAUCGAGAAAUUUGUCUCCUCCUCCGAACUUGGAAAAGAAAGAGAAAAAUUAGCCGACGAUUCUAGGUUUCGACAACCAUCAUGUUACUGAAAAAUACAGAAGGGAAACACAGAAUUAGGUGAGAGAGGAGCAGAGAGAGGAGACAGCAAAGAGAGGGUUUUUUUUUUUUUUUCUCUCUAAUUUCAUUCACUAACAGUUCUUAUCCUUUUAUAGCCCUAGCUUAUAAUGAACCUACACAAUCUUUCACAUCAUCUUUACAUAUAGCAACACUCCUGUAAAAAUUAC